AGCCAGUGCUUUUAAACACUGAGCUCCAAUCCCUAAAAUUAACUCUUUAACAAAGGGAGGUUUUUUUCCUUCAGUGUGUCAGGAUGAGUUUCCAGUCUUAUUAAUCAAGUCAGUCAAAACAUGCGAAGUAGGUAGGCAUAGUGGCUUACAAUCUGUAACCAUGGCUCUGGGGAAGGAGAAGCAGGAGGAUUUUAAGUUCAAAGCUACCUUGGGCUAAAUAAUUAAAACCUUGUCUCAAAAAUAGAAAACCAUAGGUUUGUCUGAACAUGUAGACCUGGAAU
rnacentral:lncRNA from 1 species